rnacentral:piRNA from 1 species
UCUGACUCAUGAAACCCAAAAUACUUGCUGC